UACGUAGGAGGCGAGCGUUGUCCGGAGUUACUGGGCGUAAAGGGUGCGCAGGCGGCCCGCCCGCGUGGGGGGGUGAAAUCUCUCCGCUUAACGGGGAGGGGGCUUCCUAGACGGGCGGGCUUGAGGGGCGGAGAGGGGCGCGGAAUUCCGGGUGGAGCGGUGAAAUGCGUAGAGAUCCGGAAGAACACCGACGGCGAAGGCAGCGCCCUGGACGCCAACUGACGCUCGGGCACGAAAGCGCGGGGAGCGAACAGG
rnacentral:rRNA from 1 species